rnacentral:rRNA from 1 species
GAUGAACGCUGGCGGCGUGCCUAAUACAUGCAAGUCGAGCGAACGGACGAGAAGCUUGCUUCUCUGAUGUUAGCGGCGGACGGGUGAGUAACACGUGGAUAGCCUACCUAUAAGACUGGGAUAACUUCGGGAAACCGGAGCUAAUACCGGAUAAUAUUUUGAGCCGCAUGGUUCAAAAGUGAAAGACGGUCUUGCUGUCACUUAUAGAUGGAUCCGCGCUGCAUUAGCUAGUUGGUAAGGUAACGGCUUACCAAGGCAACGAUGCAUAGCCGACCUGAGAGGGUGAUCGGCCACACUGGAACUGAGACACGGUCCAGACUCCUACGGGAGGCAGCAGUAGGGAAUCUUCCGCAAUGGGCGAAAGCCUGACGGAGCAACGCCGCGUGAGUGAUGAAGGUCUUCGGAUCGUAAAACUCUGUUAUUAGGGAAGAACAUAUGUGUAAGUAACUGUGCACAUCUUGACGGUACCUAAUCAGAAAGCCACGGCUAACUACGUG